UACGAAGGGGGCUAGCGUUGUUCGGAAUUAUUGGGCGUAAAGCGCGUGUAGGCGGCAUAGCAAGUCGGGUGUGAAAGCCCUCAGCUUAACUGAGGAAGUGCGCCCGAAACUGCUGUGCUUGAGUGCCGGAGAGGAUGGCGGAAUUCCCCAAGUAGAGGUGAAAUUCGUAGAUAUGGGGAGGAACACCGGUGGCGAAGGCGGCCAUCUGGACGGCAACUGACGCUGAGACGCGAAAGCGUGGGGAGCAAACAGG
rnacentral:rRNA from 1 species